GGCAGGGAGACACUCGUGCCUUCCUGUCGAACAACGUACCCCGGCGCGGUCUGCGCCAAGGAACAUGAACGAAAGAGUGCCUCCGGUCGCCUCGGAAACGCUGCGCGCACCGGAGGCGAAUCUUGUCUAGAACCAUAACGACUCUCGGCAACGGAUAUCUCGGCUCUCGCAUCGAUGAAGAACGUAGCGAAAUGCGAUACUUGGUGUGAAUUGCAGAAUCCCGCGAAUCAUCGAGUCUUUGAACGCAAGUUGCGCCCGAAGCCACCUGGCCGAGGGCACGUCUGCCUGGGUGUCACGCAUCGUUGCCCCCAACCCCAUCGCCCUGCAAAGAGGCGGUGGGGGCAUGCGGGGCGGACAUUGGCCUCCCGUGGGCUGAUGCCUGCGGCUGGCCUAAAAACGAGUCCUCGGCGACGAUCGCCACGACAAUCGGUGGUUGACAAACCUUCGUGACCCGUCGUGCGCGCAUCGCCGCUCAACGCGUGCUCUUUUGACCCUGUCGCGUCGCGCUCGCGACGCUUCCAACGCG
rnacentral:rRNA from 1 species